rnacentral:sRNA from 1 species
AAUUAUCAAAAACAAUUAUUAAAUACCAAUGACAGCCACUGUAAAUAAGUCUCAACUUGAGGAUUUAUUUAACAAAGUGGCUGCAAAAAUGUAUAUGUAGAUAAUAAAUCACCGAGGGUAAAGAGUAUGUAAGAAGUUUAAUCAUCAAAUUCUUAAUUAGGUUUCGAGAAUCCCAACAUUACCCUCUAUUUAAUUGGUUUAAGACGAACAUUGUUUAGGAAGUGUGUGUAUGAUGCAUUAUUGAAAAUGUUGUUCGGAAAAAAUAUUUUAAUACUAAGAAUAAUUAUUUAUUACAUGAGUGAAUGAUUACAUAAUU